rnacentral:rRNA from 1 species
GAUGAACGCUAGCGGCAGGCUUAAUACAUGCAAGUCGAGGGACAGCACAGGUAGCAAUACUGGGUGGUAACCGGCAAACGGGUGCGGAACACGUACACAACCUUCCUUUAAGUGGGGGAUAGCCCAGAGAAAUUUGGAUUAAUACCCCGUAAUAUAGUUGAAUGGCAUCAUUUGAUUAUUAUAGCUACGGCGCUUAAUGAUGGGUGUGCGGCUGAUUAGAUAGUUGUCGGGGUAACGGCCCACCAAGUCUACGAUCAGUAGCUGAUGUGAGAGCAUGAUCAGCCACACGGGCACUGAGACACGGGCCCGACUCCUACGGGAGGCAGCAGUAAGGAAUAUUGGUCAAUGGACGCAAGUCUGAACCAGCCAUGCCGCGUGAAGGAUUAAGGUCCUCUGUAUUGUAAACUUCCUUUAUUUGGGACGAAAAAGGGCCUUUCUAGGUCAACUGACGGUACCAGAUGAAUAAGCACCGGCUAACUCCGUGCCAGCCGCCGCCGUAAAAC